UACGUAGGGUGCAAGCGUUAAUCGGAAUUACUGGGCGUAAAGCGUGCGUAGGCGGCUAUGUAAGACAGAUGUGAAAUCCCUGGGCUUAACCUAGGAACUGCAUUUGUGACUGCAUUGCUAGAGUGUGGUAGAGGGAGAUGGAAUUCCGCAUGUAGCAGUGAAAUGCGUAGAUAUGCGGAGGAACACCAAUGGCGAAGGCAAUCUCCUGGACCUGCACUGACGCUCAUGCACGAAAGCGUGGGGAGCAAACAGG
rnacentral:rRNA from 1 species